rnacentral:rRNA from 1 species
UACGAAGGGGGGCUAGCGUUGCUCGGAAUCACUGGGGCGUUAAAGGGUGCGUAGGCGGGUCUUUUAAGUCAGGGGUGAAAUCCUGGAGCUCAACUCCAGAACUGCCUUUGAUACUGAGGAUCUUGAGUUCGGGAGAGGUGAGUGGAACUGCGAGUGUAGAGGUGAAAUUCGUAGAUAUUCGCAAGAACACCAGUGGCGAAGGCGGCUCACUGGCCCGAUACUGACGCUGAGGCACGAAAGCGUGGGGAGCAAACAGG